rnacentral:rRNA from 1 species
GACGAACGCUGGCGGCGUGCCUAAUACAUGCAAGUUGAGCGCUGAAGGUUGGUACUUGUACCAACUGGAUGAGCAGCGAACGGGUGAGUAACGCGUGGGGAAUCUGCCUUUGAGCGGGGGACAACAUUUGGAAACGAAUGCUAAUACCGCAUAAAAACUUUAAACACAAGUUUUAAGUUUGAAAGAUGCAAUUGCAUCACUCAAAGAUGAUCCCGCGUUGUAUUAGCUAGUUGGUGAGGUAAAGGCUCACCAAGGCGAUGAUACAUAGCCGACCCGAGAGGGUGAUCGGCCACAUUGGGACUGAGACACGGCCUAAACUCCUACGGGAGGCAGCAGUAGGGAAUCUUCGGCAAUGGACGAAAGUCUGACCGAGCAACGCCGCGUGAGUGAAGAAGGUUUUCGGAUCGUAAAACUCUGUUGGUAGAGAAGAACGUUGGUGAGAGUGGAAAGCUCAUCAAGUGACGGUAACUACCCAGAAAGGGACGGCUAACUACGUG